UCUGGCUCAGAAUGAACGCUGGCGGCGUGCUUACACAUGCAAGUCGAACGAGAAAUCUUUAGCUUGCUAGAGAAAGUAAAGUGGCGCACGGGUGAGUAACGCGUGGGUAAUCUGCCUCCGAAUCGGGGAUAACAUUGCGAAAGCGAUGCUAAUACCGGAUAAAAUCUGGUUGGCUUCGGUGAACCGGAUCAAAGGUGGUCUCUUUAUAAAAGCUACCGUUUGGAGAUGAGCUCGCGUACCAUUAGCUAGUUGGUGAGGUAAAGGCUCACCAAGGCGACGAUGGUUAGCUGGUCUGAGAGGAUGAUCAGCCACACCGGAACUGGAACACGGUCCGGACUCCUACGGGAGGCAGCAGUGAGGAAUUUUGCGCAAUGGGGGAAACCCUGACGCAGCAACGCCGCGUGAGUGAUGAAGGCUUUCGGGUCGUAAAGCUCUGUCGGGUGGGAAGAACCCACCAAGUGUUAAGACCACUUGGUGCUGACGGUACCACCGAAGGAAGCACCGGCUAACUCCGUGCCAGCAGCCGCGGUAAUACGGGGGGUGCGAGCGUUAUUCGGAAUCAUUGGGCGUAAAGGGCGCGCAGGCGGUUUUGUAAGUCAGAUGUGAAAUCCCGGGGCUUAACCCCGGAAGUGCAUAUGAAACUAUGAGACUUGAGUAUGGGAGAGGGAAGCGGAAUUCCUGGUGUAGCGGUGAAAUGCGUAGAUAUCAGGAGGAACACCGGUGGCGAAGGCGGCUUCCUGGACCAAUACUGACGCUGAGGCGCGAAGGCGUGGGGAGCGAACAGGAUUAGAUACCCUGGUAGUCCACGCAGUAAACGUUGAUCACUAGGUGUAGCGGGUAUUGACCCCUGCUGUGCCGGAGUUAACGCAUUAAGUGAUCCGCCUGGGGAGUACGAUCGCAAGAUUAAAACUCAAAGGAAUUGACGGGGGCCCGCACAAGCGGUGGAGCAUGUGGUUUAAUUCGACGCAACGCGAAGAACCUUACCUGGACUUGAC
rnacentral:rRNA from 1 species